rnacentral:misc_RNA from 1 species
CGUCAUUUGUACUCUCAAGCUAUGCUUGGUGUUGGGUGUUUGUCUUUGCUAUGCGUAGACUCGCCUUAAAUGUAUUGGCAGCCGGUAUAUUGGUUUGAAUUGCAGCACAAUUUGCGACUCAGGCUUAUUAUUAUUGGCACCCAUGAAGCAUCAUCAACACUUUUGACCUCGGAUCAGGUAGGGAUACCCGCUGAACUUAA